AAGCGUGCUCCCGCAGUGCAGCAGUGGGCUGAAGGGCUCCUAAAGUGCCACCAAAGUGGGAGCCCAGGCAGAGGAGGCGCCCACAGCGAGCGAGGGCUGUGAGGACUGCCAGCAUGCUGUCACCUCUCAAUAGGGCCACAGUGAAGCCUCAAGCCAUGUACGAUGGGCCUGCUUCCCCUUUGCCUUCUGCCAUGAUUAUGUUUCCUGAGGCCUCCCCAGCCAUGCUUCCCAUACAGCCUGCAUAACUGUAAAUGGUUGAAGACAGAAGACAUAUUAUAGAUUUUAUAUCCAGCCCAUGAGGAUUUUGACUGAUUCCAUUGAGCAGGCUCAGGUGAAAAACUGAAGGGCCAAGACAAAUUAAGUGACUUGUCCAGGAUCACACAAGCAGUUAUUAGCUCUACUGAGAAAAAAAUACACAUCUCUUGACGCCCAG